rnacentral:rRNA from 1 species
CCUACGGGAGGCAGCAGUGGGGAAUAUUGCACAAUGGGGGAAACCCUGAUGCAGCGACGCCGCGUGAGUGAAGAAGUAUUUCGGUAUGUAAAGCUCUAGCAGCAGGGAAGAAGAAAGAAGGUACCUGACUAAGAAGCCCCGGCUAACUACGUGCCAGCAGCCGCGGUAAUACGGAGGGGGCAAGCGUUAUCCGGAUUUACGGGGUGUAAAUGGAGCGUAGACGGCUGUGCAAGUCUGAAGUGAAAGCCCAGGGCUCAACCCUGGGACUGCUUUGGAAACUGGGGAGCUAGAGUGCUGGUGAGGUCAGUGGACUUCCUCUUGUAGCGGUGACAUGCGUAGAUAUUCGG